rnacentral:rRNA from 1 species
AGUGAACGCUGGCGGCAGGCCUAACACAUGCAAGUCGAGCGGCAGCGCGUCCGACCACCCUCGGGUGGUCGGAUGGCGGCGAGCGGCGGACGGGUGAGGAAUGCAUCGGAAUCUGCCUCGUUGUGGGGGAUAACGUAGGGAAACUUACGCUAAUACCGCAUACGACCUACGGGUGAAAGUGGGGGACCUUCGGGCCUCACGCGAUGAGAUGAGCCGAUGCCGGAUUAGCUAGUUGGCGGGGUAAAGGCCCACCAAGGCGACGAUCCGUAGCUGGUCUGAGAGGAUGAUCAGCCACACUGGAACUGAGACACGGUCCAGACUCCUACGGGAGGCAGCAGUGGGGAAUAUUGGACAAU